AGAGUUUGAUCCUGGCUCAGAUUGAACGCUGGCGGCAUGCCUUACACAUGCAAGUCGAACGGCAGCACGGGAGCAAUCCUGGUGGCGAGUGGCGAACGGGUGAGUAAUGUAUCGGAACGUACCUUUCAGUGGGGGAUAACGUAGCGAAAGUUACGCUAAUACCGCAUAUUCUGUGAGCAGGAAAGCAGGGGAUCGCAAGACCUUGCGCUGAUUGAGCGGCCGAUAUCAGAUUAGCUAGUUGGUGAGGUAAAGGCUCACCAAGGCGACGAUCUGUAGCGGGUCUGAGAGGAUGAUCCGCCACACUGGAACUGAGACACGGUCCAGACUCCUACGGGAGGCAGCAGUGGGGAAUUUUGGACAAUGGGGGCAACCCAAGAUCCAGCCAUGCCGCGUGAGUGAAGAAGGCCU
rnacentral:rRNA from 1 species